CCUACGGGUGGCUGCAGUGAGGAAUAUUGGUCAAUGGGAGAGAUCCUGAACCAGCCAAGCCGCGUGAGGGAAGACGGCCCUAUGGGUUGUAAACCUCUUUUGUCGGAGAACAAAACCCGGGACGUGUCCCGGGCUGCGUGUAUCCGAAGAAAAAGCAUCGGCUAACUCCGUGCCAGCAGCCGCGGUAAUACGGAGGAUGCGAGCGUUAUCCGGAUUUAUUGGGUUUAAAGGGUGCGUAGGCGGUCCGUUAAGUCAGCGGUAAAAGCGCGGGGCUCAACCCCGGCGAGCCGUUGAAACUGGCAGACUGGAGUUGGAGAGAAGUAUGCGGAAUGCGCGGUGUAGCGGUGAAAUGCAUAGAUAUCGCGCAGAACUCCGAUUGCGAAGGCAGCGUGCCGGCGCCACACUGACGCUGAGGCACGAAAGCGUGGGGAUCGAACAGGAUUAGAUACCCGAGUAGUC
rnacentral:rRNA from 1 species